rnacentral:rRNA from 1 species
UGAACCUGGUUGAUCCUGCCAGUAGUCAUAUGCUUGUCUCAAAGAUUAAGCCAUGCAUGUCUAAGUAUAAGCAAUCAUACUGUGAAACUGCGAAUGGCUCAUUAAAUCAGUUAUCGUUUAUUUGAUAGUACCUUUACCUGGAUAACCGUGGUAAUUCUAGAGCUAAUACAUGCUAAAAAUCCCGACUUCGGAAG